UUGGUGGUGAUCACAGAAAAUACACCCCGACCACGUGACACAUAUUCUGAUAUAUAAGAUUUCCGUUUACCUGUGACACACAUAACUCGGCAGCACAGUGGAUCGCUUGUACAAGUCGUGCAGUCGUGCACCAGAUCACAAGGUUAUGAUCAUGACAAAGAUAUCAUACAUAUGUCUGCUACUCUUGGCGUACAUUUGUUUUUCAAGAGGACAAGAUCCUAUACAAUCUGUGUCAUGUGAUGUACAGGGUACAUUGACCGCGACCCUAACGUCCGAUUCACCUUGGACUUUACCAGAAAAGGUCACAUGUGGACAUAUUCAGGUCACGCUGAAAACAACAAACACAGACACAUUUACCAUAUCUGGUUGUGGAAUUGUAAGUUUCCUUCAGAUUAUCUUCUAUGAUUUUUAAUUGAAAUAUGAAGUGAUUUACCGGUAAGAAGACAUAUAACACUAUAUCAAAUAUGACUUUUUUAUGAAUAACAAAUAUUUCAUUCCCCGCAUCAGUACAAAUUGUGCAUUGCUGGAGUACUCAGAUCAACAUCAAGGUUCUGAUUAUGGACUUAUAACAGAAAUGAAAAACGGUGUAAGGCUUACAUUCACGAAGCUACCACACGCGCGUAUACAAUUUGAAAACGAUUACGAUGACAAUUGCGGCAUCAGCAUUAUUUGUUAAAAUAGUUUACCAAUUUGUGUAGGUAUCGAUACAUUUCUUCUUGAAAUUGCGUCAAUGUGCUGCAGUACAAAUGUCAAACACUGACAAAUGAAAGUAUCUUGAUUUUCUAAGAAUUAAUACAGAUUCAACAAGAAAAAAAUCACAUAUGGUGAUAUUUUACA